rnacentral:lncRNA from 1 species
UUAUCGUAACAUUGUUGAAUAACGUGUAAACCCAUUUGUUUCCUCGGUAGCUACAAGCUACACACUCGGUUACCAAUGGCUUUUAGGGCGAGAUCACAAGUUGUGCGAGAAUACUUCUCGAAAUCACCACCUUUUACCCUUUUAAAUAACGAAAUUACUACAAACUUCGUUACUCUGUGGCGCAUUAAAACUUGUUUAUGUAGCAAAUAAAACACAUACAUCAGCAUACAAGUUGGUAAACUUGCAUACAAGUUAACUCCAAUGCAUAUCCAACUGUCAGUAUCCCAGAAACAAGACGUGUUUAUGAUAUAUCUGAACAACUUGGAACAACUUGUUCACCUGUGUAACGAAAAUACCUUCCCAAGUCACCAGUAAGCACGAUAAUCCAGCAUUAUAUGCGCAUUCAGGGUAGUCAUUUAGUGCUAGACAGCUCUUGUACGCAUAUAAUGCUAUUAUAAUGUCAGAAAAGGCAAAAUAGGGUGCCUUCGAAAUGUAUAAAUAUGAUGAUGAUGUAAAUCCCUCAUUUGCGUCUCGACCCUGCGACACCCUUAAUGUUGGAUUGCUGAAAUCCUGCUCCUUGCACUUUCGGUCACUGAAGAUGACAAUAAUUGUGGAGCAAAUAGACCAAUUUCCAUCACUUUUCCCCGUCAAAAAAUCUGCGAUUGUGGUAGUGAGAAGAUUUAUGUUUUGCUCCCUCUUACAUGCAAACAUGCUUUACAAGCGAAUACAGAGCCAAUGUAGUACUUUAUGCUUUGGAAGUGCUAUUAUAAGAUGUGUAAGCAUUUGUAGUGAUUUUAUAAUGCACGCAUGCAUCUAUGUUGGUGAUUUACGGCUUGUUAAUAGUGCUUAUGGUUUCUAGGUGUAUGAUGAACAUUGAGAAUUCAUUUGAAAAGCCUCUGAGAAGCUUAGAGAGUUCAUUUUGAAUGUUUCUGAGAAGCAUCGAGAACUUUUUUGAGCGGUAUUGAAAAUGUGCUUCUGGAAAGCAUUGCCGCUUCUGUGGAAAAUAUUGAGAAUGCUUUUAUUACCGAUUUUUUUUUUGGCAAUUACUACAAAACUUAACCACAAAGCUUCUUCUAUUUCGAUUGCAUUUAGGAUGCACUUGAAGCGCUUUUAGGAAGCAUGAAGAAUGCUUAUGUGACGAAGAUAAAAUAUUUCUUGAUAAUGCUUCUGGGAAUUUUCAAGAAUGCUUUUCAGGAGCAUUGAAAGUAGUUUUGUGGUAAGCAUUAAGAAUGUUUCUUUGAAUGUAUUGAAAAUGCUUCAAGAAAGGUUUGGAAUUUCCCUCGAGAACUUUGAAAUACUUCUGGAAAGCUUAAGAAAGCUUCAGGUAAGCAAAGCAAAUGCAUCUUAAAAGCAUUCAGAAAGCUUAUGGAAAUGCUUCCCGAAAGUAUUGAGAAUGCUUCUCAAGAGCAUUGGGAAUGCUUCUCAGAAACAUUGAGAAUGCUUUUCUGAAGUAUUGAUAAUGCUUUCGGAAAGGAUUCAGAAUGAGUAUACUUCCAAGAAGCCUUCUAAUGAAUCCUGUGAUCAGGAAUUCUCUGGGAAGUAUUGAGAAUGCUUCCAGAGAGUUUCGAUUGUGCUUCCGAAAAGCGUUGAGAAUGCUUCUGGAAAGCGAUGAAAAUGCCUCUGGAAAAUCAUUGAAAACGCUCCCGGAAACUAUUCAGAAUGCCUUCAAAAAGGAUUGAUAUUUUUUCCGGAAAGCAUUAAGAAUGUUUUUUUAAGCAUUGAUGAUUCUUACGGAAAGCAUUAACAAUGUGCUGGAAUGUAUCAGGAAUUGUUAAGGAAAGCACUAAGAAUGCAAGGAAUUGUUAAGGAAAGCACAAAGAAUCUUAUGCAUUGCGAACAUUUCUGAGGUGCGUUGCGAACUCCGCUACAAAUUGUGUGAAGAGUUUUAUUUAAAGAAACAUAUUCCUGAAAAGCAUCGAGAGUUCUUCCGAUAAGCAUGCUUGAUUUGACAUUGAGAAUGCUUCUGUUAAGCAUUGAGAAUGCUUCUGUUAAGCAUUGAGAAUGCUUCUGUUAAGCAUUGAGAAUGCUUCUGGGAAGCAUUGAGAAUACUUGUGGGCAAUAAAUAUACUUCUCAGAAGCAUUGAGAAUAAUUCUGGGAAGCAUUGAGAAAGCUUUGUGGAAGCUUGGAGAAUGCUUCUUGAAAGCAUUGAGAAUGUUCUUGAAAACAUAGAGAAAGCUUCUUGGAAUCAUUAAGAAUGCUUCUGAGAAGCAUUGAGAAUGCUGCUGGGAUGCACUGAGAAUGUUUCUGGGAAGCAUUGAGAAUGCUCCUGGGAAGCAUUGAGAAAGCUUCUUGGAAGCAUAGAGAAUGCUUCUGAUAAGCAUUGAGAAUGCUUCUGGGAAGCAUUGAGAAUGCUUCUAAUAAACGUUGAUAAAGCUUCUGGGAAGCAUUGAGAAAUAUUCUUGAAAGCAAUGAGAGUGCUUCCUGGAAGCAUAGAUAAUGCUUUUGGGAAGCAUUGAGAAUUCUUCUGAGAAUCAUUGCAAGUGCUUGUGGGACGCAUUGUGAAUGAUUCUUGGAAGCAUUGAGAAUGCUUCUUAGAAGCAUUGAGAUUUUUUUUUUUUUGAAGCAUUGAGAAUACUCCUUAGAAGCAUUGAGAUUGCUUCUUGAAAGUAUUGAGAAUGCUUCUGGCAAGCAUUGCGAAUUCUUAUGGAAAGCUUCGCGAAUGCUUGUGAGAAACAUUGGUGAUGCUUCUGGGAAGCAUUAGGAUUGCUUUAGGAAAGCAAUGAAAAUGCUUCCAGGAAAUAUAGAUAAUUAUUGCUUUUAAAAAGCAUUUGGAAUGCUUCUCGGAAGAAUCAUCGAUGCUUAAACAUUGAGAAAGUUCCUGUAUAACACUAGGAAUGCUUCCGAGAUCCAUUGCGAAUAUUUUUGGGGCUUUCAAUUCCGUAUAAGAAAGGAGCAAAUUCUUAUGCAAAUAAAGUCACUUUUUGGAUUGUCACUUCUUUUGUUUCUGCUCGUUGACGGAUACAAAAUAUCCAAGUGCGUUUGUGAUAGGUUUUCAUUAAAUUUAUCUUCUGCUAGCGAAUCAAUCAGCUCAACUGUAAUUCGCAAUGACCACCAUUAAAAGCGCCGUCGUUACUGGUAGGUUGAAACCUCUUUUGAUAACCGUACAACCACCAAAUCGGAUUUUCCCAUUGGCCUGGAUGGAACACGUCUUACGGAUGAUUGUUUUGUUUGAAAUGCCAUUUUCCCUACUUUUCACUAUUAUCCUAAAAAUUAUCUGUCGAAUUGCCGAAAACAAAUGCAAGCCAUACUCAGUCGUUAGUAAACUUUUAGGGAACUUUUCGUUUUCAGCUCAACGUACACAACCCUCAAUUGGACAGAUCCUAGCUGAGCGUGAUCCUACUUUAUAUUACUAUUGUCUUUUUUUGUUUUCUUUUCCUAUUAAGUUUACUUUCGUAUGUAUAUGUAUAUCACUGGUGUUCACUUGUUUUAGACGUUUAGUGUAUGCAGGAAGUUACUUGCUUCGUGUAGAAUAGUGUCUCCAAGGCUAAGGGGGCGACCUUGCGGUCCCAAAGCUCUUCACUUAAAUAGAAGAAUCACAACCGAUUAGUAAUGAAGAGCAAAAGUGAGGUUAGGUUCAAAACGUUAACAGUUAGUUAAAUUGUAAAUUUUUACUUAAAACUAAAGAGCAAACAGGCGAAACAAGAUUGUGUACAGUUAAGGUUAGGCAAGCAAACAAACUAAACGAGAAACACAAAACCAAGGUGGCUAAAUGAGGUAGGAAUUGCUGAUUCAUGCUCGCUUUGAUACGAACGUGUGAAAUGUCUCCCAUGGAUGAUGUUUUAGCAAUUGAAAUGUGAUAUUCAUGUUGAAAUGUAUUAUUGUUUUUUGUUUCGUUUGCGCGUACCACUUUUGGUUUUAAAGUGAAUAAAAUGUCAUGUCAUGGCGACAACGUCGGCGAUGAUUUGUAAAAUUUUAGAAAACAGAUCGAAUUUAAGCCCUGAUGAGGGAGAAAGAGUAACGUUAAAUGAGAUUCGUAAUUAGUACACACCUUAUUCGAAACAUUCUAAACAUUUGAUCUCCACCGAUUGGUAUUUCUUCUCGCGAGUAGAUAUUAUGUUCCUUAUUAAACAAAAAUUAAGAGAGAGGAGAAGAAACUCAAAUUAUGUCCAAAAUUAUCGUCCAACCGCUUGAAUCAAUCAAACGCGCGAGAAACAAAGGUUUUAAGACAUUUUUCGUUUUUACUUGUAAAUUUACAGCAAAACAAGCUUAAUAUUUCCUCACGUGGAUGCAAUUCCACUGGAGCCGUUCAUCCAAACAUAACCUGUAGAGCAAAACUCACCACUGCAGAGAGAAAUCCACCGCUGUAAAUAGACCCAGCCCAAUCCUCCCAAAAAACACCACUUGCAAACACAUCCAAUAUAUAUUUAAUGUAGCCGCAGAAACGAAUUUAACUAGCAACUUAACAAAAUAAUAAAAGAUAAAAACAAAUACAAGAAGAACCCAAUAAUAGUAAGCAAACAAAUAGCAUAAUGCAAAGACGACGACUUCAAUGGUGCAAAAUAAAACAGUUAAGCAAAUUCUUACACGACAAGUGUGUGGGUUGAGCAAAAUGAGUACACUCACACAAACACAUACACACGUACACAUUAAAAUAGAAAAAAAAACAGAGUCCAGUUUGCCCGAGCAAACACAACACGCGAUGGUUUUGACAAAAUUUUGGUUUUUCUCUUCAGACUUUGAGAGUUAAGAGUUAAGAGGGUAUCCCCCACCCCUUCUUAGUCGGUAGGUAAUUUAUUAAGGCGCAACAAAACUUCAUUUUCACUAUUAUUAUUUCCGAUUGUUUCUUGAUUUUCGUGUCCUGGUAGCACGUCUCCCGAAAGGAAGAAGUUCCCUUA